rfam:Ailuropoda melanoleuca scaffold133_10, whole genome shotgun sequence.
UAUAAAAUUUUUAGCUGUUCUUCACAAGGACCUAAUGUAUUGAUUUUAAUGAAGGCUAUAACUUCAUUGUGUAACUUUGGUAUUACAUUUAAAAAUCGUAAUUAUGCAGUGAAGCAAGCCCCUGCCUGUCCCCGCCUCUUUCUUAUCAGUAUCCUCUCCAUGCUCCUAGCUGAGUGUCCCAUGGGACCUGAAGUGUUUACUUUGAAACAGUGUUCAAAGCAGGACCAUAAAGCAUAAAGCAGGAUUUUUUCCAUAGCUGCCCGGAUAGGUAGCUAGUAAUUAUGGAAUAAGACCGUGGUUCUAUUUUGUUGGUUUUCAGAACUGAGGGCAGGAUUAGGAGGAACGGUCAGGGGCAUUCACAUUGCACUGCUACAGGUCUAAUUCUUAGACUGGCCGAGACACACAAGAGUGAAAAUAUUUGCCAAGAGUGUUUUCAUUAAUUAAGAAUGAAUGCUGGAGGUUCAAAGACGAUCAGAUAUCAUUGUAGUUUCAACUACAAAUGAUGCUGACUGAUGAUGCAGCGGCAUUAUAAUCAUGACCUGCGAGGCAGCUUCCAGGAAACCAAAGUCCUUGGGUU